rnacentral:rRNA from 1 species
UAUUUUGUAAAGUUGUUCUAGUUUUGUAACUAAAAUGGUUUGGCAGUGAGCGAUUCUUAUUAGGGGAAUAUGCAUAGUGAAGGAUGGUCCACCUAUUAGUUUACUCUUUUUAUGUUGGUGUAUGUCUGGUUUGAUAUUAUUGUUGAAUAAUUUAAGUUUGUGUAGUUUUAGUUAAGCUAAGUCUAUGUGCUGCUUAUGGGAGUUUUUGUGUGUUACAUUAAUAAGGGUGUUAUUGUAAGAUGAUGUGAUUUAGA